UGCCGGGUGGCUCAGCGGUAAAGAAUCUGCUUGCCAAGCAGGAGGCACAGGUUUGAUCUCUGUCUCAGGAA
rnacentral:tRNA from 1 species